rnacentral:rRNA from 1 species
GGAUUAGAUACCCUGGUAGUCCACCCCGUAAACGUUGGGAACUAGAUGUGGGGACCAUUCCACGGUCUCCGUGUCGCAGCUAACGCAUUAAGUUCCCCGCCUGGGGAGUACGGCCGCAAGGCUAAAACUCAAAGGAAUUGACGGGGGCCCGCACAAGCGGCGGAGCAUGCGGAUUAAUUCGAUGCAACGCGAAGAACCUUACCAAGGCUUGACAUAUACCGGAAACGGCGAGAGAUCGUCGCCCCGCAAGGUCGGUAUACAGGUGGUGCAUGGUUGUCGUCAGCUCGUGCC